AUGAUGGCUCUGCUAUAGCACGAGAUAAAAUGAAAAAGGUUAUUAAAGUGGGGGGUUUUGAAUUAGUUCAAAUUUCGAGUCACCUGAAUUCUAUUAAACAUCAGGCUAUUCGGUUUGGUGGUGAUGAUUAUACUGGGGUUUCUUCAAUCAAAGAGUCCAUGGGUAUGAUGAUAGAAUUGGCAUGGUGGUGUGGUUAGGAGUUUUGAUCGCUAUAGACUUUCCUUUCGUAAGAGAAGGCGGUGAAUCAGUGAACUUUGCUUCAAUGGUUUAAACCGUGUCUAUAGUUGUUUUCGUUGGUGGUUCUAAUGGGUUCGGGAUUGCAGUAGCACCAAAAUUGUACCAGGUGUGUACUCUAAACAGGAAAAAUCAAGGUUCAACGAAAGUCGAAAAGGGGCACUAUCGAUGCUACACGGGCGUGUGCCCGACUGUUUGAAUGUCGUAGGAGUGGUCGUGCGCGAGACAUAGCAGUGCAACGGCGAUGGUGUGGCCGUAUAGGUCAUAUGGGCUAAGGCAGAUUAGGGCGUAUGGACCACACGGGAGAGCCACAUGGGCAUGUGGGCACAAAAUUCUGAAAUUUUCCCUAGGAUCUUACAAGUCAUUUCGAUCGACUGUGGGCCUACCGUAAGGUCGGUAAGGGCUAACCAAACUCUAAUUCAUGUGAUAUGAUAUUUUGAUAGUCUGAUCUGAGUAGGAAACUGAUAUGUGUGUCUGACUAUUCUAUUUGAGUAUAUAUGUUAUCUGUAUAUGAGUAUGUUAAGCAUGAUAAUUCUGUUAAUUCUGUAUUUUGUAUCCGUAUUUGAGGUGGGAUUUGCAUAUGUGGACAAA